rnacentral:rRNA from 1 species
UUUAAUUGAAGAGUUUGAUCAUGGCUCAGAUUGAACGCUGGCGGCAGGCUUAACACAUGCAAGUCGAGCGGUAGCACAGGGGAGCUUGCUCCCUGGGUGACGAGCGGCGGACGGGUGAGUAAUGUCUGGGAAACUGCCUGAUGGAGGGGGAUAACUACUGGAAACGGUAGCUAAUACCGCAUAACGUCGCAAGACCAAAGAGGGGGACCUUCGGGCCUCUUGCCAUCAGAUGUGCCCAGAUGGGAUUAGCUAGUAGGUGGGGUAAUGGCUCACCUAGGCGACGAUCCCUAGCUGGUCUGAGAGGAUGACCAGCCACACUGGAACUGAGACACGGUCCAGACUCCUACGGGAGGCAGCAGUGGGAAUAUUGCACAAUGGGCGCAAGCCUGAUGCAGCCAUGCCGCGUGUGUGAAGAAGGCCUUCGGGUUGUAAAGCACUUUCAGCGAGGAGGAAGGUGGUGAGCUUAAUACGCUCAUCAAUUGACGUUACUCGCAGAAGAAGCACCGGCUAACUCCGUGCCAGCAGCCGCGGUAAUACGGAGGGUGCAAGCGUUAAUCGGAAUUACUGGGCGUAAAGCGCACGCAGGCGGUUUGUUAAGUCAGAUGUGAAAUCCCCGGGCUCAACCUGGGAACUGCAUUUGAAACUGGCAAGCUAGAGUCUCGUAGAGGGGGGUAGAAUUCCAGGUGUAGCGGUGAAAUGCGUAGAGAUCUGGAGGAAUACCGGUGGCGAAGGCGGCCCCUGGACGAAGACUGACGCUCAGGUGCGAAAGCGUGGGAGCAAACAGGAUUAGAUACCCUGGUAGUCCACGCUGUAAACGAUGUCGAUUUGGAGGUUGUGCCCUUGAGGCGUGGCUUCCGGAGCUAACGCGUUAAAUCGACCGCCUGGGGAGUACGGCCGCAAGGUUAAAACUCAAAUGAAUUGACGGGGGCCCGCACAAGCGGUGGAGCAUGUGGUUUAAUUCGAUGCAACGCGAAGAACCUUACCUACUCUUGACAUCCAGAGAACUUAGCAGAGAUGCUUUGGUGCCUUCGGGAACUCUGAGACAGGUGCUGCAUGGCUGUCGUCAGCUCGUGUUGUGAAAUGUUGGGUUAAGUCCCGCAACGAGCGCAACCCUUAUCCUUUGUUGCCAGCGGUUCGGCCGGGAACUCAAAGGAGACUGCCAGUGAUAAACUGGAGGAAGGUGGGGAUGACGUCAAGUCAUCAUGGCCCUUACGAGUAGGGCUACACACGUGCUACAAUGGCAUAUACAAAGAGAAGCGACCUCGCGAGAGCAAGCGGACCUCAUAAAGUAUGUCGUAGUCCGGAUUGGAGUCUGCAACUCGACUCCAUGAAGUCGGAAUCGCUAGUAAUCGUAGAUCAGAAUGCUACGGUGAAUACGUUCCCGGGCCUUGUACACACCGCCCGUCACACCAUGGGAGUGGGUUGCAAAAGAAGUAGGUAGCUUAACCUUCGGGAGGGCGCUUACCACUUUGUGAUUCAUGACUGGGGUGAAGUCGUAACAAGGUAACCGUAGGGGAACCUGCGGUUGGAUCACCUCCUUACCUAAAGA